AGAGUUUGAUCCUGGCUCAGGACGAACGCUGGCGGCGCGCCUAACACAUGCAAGUCGAACGGAGCUGAGAGGAGCUUGCUUUUCUUAGCUUAGUGGCGAACGGGUGAGUAACGCGUGAGUAACCUGCCCUGGAGUGGGGGACAACAGUUGGAAACGACUGCUAAUACCGCAUAAGCCCACGGCCCGGCAUCGGGCUGAGGGAAAAGGAUUUAUUCGCUUCAGGAUGGACUCGCGUCCAAUUAGCUAGUUGGUGAGGUAACGGCCCACCAAGGCGACGAUUGGUAGCCGGACUGAGAGGUUGAACGGCCACAUUGGGACUGAGACACGGCCCAGACUCCUACGGGAGGCAGCAGUGGGGGAUAUUGCACAAUGGGGGAAACCCUGAUGCAGCGACGCCGCGUGGAGGAAGAAGGUUUUCGGAUUGUAAACUCCUGUCGUUAGGGACGAUAAUGACGGUACCUAACAAGAAAGCACCGGCUAACUACGUGCCAGCAGCCGCGGUAAAACGUAGGGUGCAAGCGUUGUCCGGAAUUACUGGGUGUAAAGGGAGCGCAGGCGGACCGGCAAGUUGGAAGUGAAAACUAUGGGCUCAACCCAUAAAUUGCUUUCAAAACUGCUGGCCUUGAGUAGUGCAGAGGUAGGUGGAAUUCCCGGUGUAGCGGUGGAAUGCGUAGAUAUCGGGAGGAACACCAGUGGCGAAGGCGACCUACUGGGCACCAACUGACGCUGAGGCUCGAAAGCAUGGGUAGCAAACAGGAUUAGAUACCCUGGUAGUCCAUGCCGUAAACGAUGAUUACUAGGUGUUGGAGGAUUGACCCCUUCAGUGCCGCAGUUAACACAAUAAGUAAUCCACCUGGGGAGUACGACCGCAAGGUUGAAACUCAAAGGAAUUGACGGGGGCCCGCACAAGCAGUGGAGUAUGUGGUUUAAUUCGAAGCAACGCGAAGAACCUUACCAGGUCUUGACAUCCGAUGCAUAGCUUAGAGAUAAGUGAAGUCCUUCGGGACAUCGAGACAGGUGGUGCAUGGUUGUCGUCAGCUCGUGUCGUGAGAUGUUGGGUUAAGUCC
rnacentral:rRNA from 1 species